rnacentral:rRNA from 1 species
GUACUAACGUCCCGUGGAUAUCAUCUAUCUAUCUGUCUGUCUAAACCACACCCGAUAUAUCCGACGAUCUCUACCUAAUGUUAUAUUUAUCGUCAAGUAUACUCGCACGCGUAUGUACGCACACGAGACGAGACGAACGACAGUUCUCAGACACGAGUGGAGAGUAACGUCACAACGUGCUCACGCGGGUGGGUCGUCGGUACUAGGAACAGAUCUAGAGAUCGAUAGAUAUUUCUAGGAAAAGUGAAACCAGGUGUGCGUAUGUUGUACAUAUGUGCUAGCUAGCUAGUCAUCUGGUCGAUCGUGGUAUAUAUGUGGUGUAUAUAUGUAUGUCUAGAGACCUAGACACGCAAACUAAAGUCAAGUGAUCUGUAGCUCGAUCGAACGUCCAUCUACGAUCGUUACCUGGUACUCGUGGUAGUCGUCCUCCUCAGCACACAAGGGGGCCCCAAGUCCAAGGUGGGGUGCCUCCUCCUCGACCACCCAAUGAUGGAGCGGUCCUUCCACCGGUGGGUCUUCUAGCUGGAGCUGUAGUAGGUCCUCCAGCUAGAGAUGUCCUAGCUCGGUACCCUGGAGGUUCUCUCCACGUCGCCACCGUCCCCUCCUGGCCCUCGCGCAAUCCACCGUCUCCUGCUCGUCAGCAGCAGCCUCACCAUGAAGAACUCGAAGUUCCUGGCGUUCAUGGGCUCGCCGUGCGCGUGGUUGGCGCGGUGCCGCCGGCCCAAGACCUUCCGGUGGCCGGCGCUGUUCGGCCACUGCAGCAGCUCCUCGGCUCCCCAGUAGCCGUACUCCUUCUGCGACCACAAGAUGGCCCCUGCACGCGGAUUACCAUCCUUCUGGCUGACCUAGUAGGUGCUCAUGGCGGAGGUCUGGUCGCUCGUGCGUGGGUGGGUCCUCCUUCCAACCCACCACACGGCCCGGAAGGUCUUCGGUUGGGGCUUAGUCUCCCGCAGGAUGCAGAAGGGCCGCAUGCGUUGGCGAGGACCAGAGCCCCCUAUGAAGCUGCGAGCCGGGACCGACGUGCCGGUUCGGCCGCUGGAGGUAAUGGACGUUUCACGGUGUCCGCGACAGCCUCGGCCGCCGGAGCCGAAGGGGCCGGUCUCGUAGGUCAUGAGACUGCUUGACGACCUGAGGUUCGUCUCGGAAAAGUUGUUGUAGGGCGUCGAGUAACUCUCGGGCGGCUGCUGGUGGCGGCAACGGCCAACGUCCCUGCGGCCGAUGCUGUAGCAGGUCGUCCCUGUCCGCCGACGGCCGUAGCUGACCCUGAAGGACCUGUCGGACGACAGGUGCAGUGUCGAGGUGCUCAUGAGACGGUGACGAUGCAGUGUAGACGUGGAUCUUGUGACU